AUCCAGCUGACGAGUCCGAAAUAGGAAGAAAUGCGCUUCUUAGAU
rfam:Schistosoma haematobium scaffold877_8, whole genome shotgun sequence.